AUGCUCCAUGAGGGGGAGAAAGACCAACGCAAGGCUCAGAUACACAAACAGGCCAUUUUAGAACGAGUACCACAGGGUGCAGGUGGCAGGAGACGGCCCGGGCUCCGGAGGACUUCCUGGAAGAGGAGGCAUUUGGGGACUGCCUUGCCUGACAGUGGAACCCAGCAAGUGGCUAGCGGGGGCUGUGGUCUCGGAGGACAAGGGACUGGGGUCCCACCUGGGGGUGGUGAGCAGAACAGCUACGCCCUCCCCCAGGGCAGCUCCGCUGUGCCCGUGCUGGGCUGUGCAGGAUCAGGCAAAGCCUCCUGCUGUUGGUUUCAUUCCCCGGUGUGUCCCUGCAGGUGCACGCAUGCCGACACGGGAGGAGGGCUGUACCCACGGCGGGAAUCCUGCCCAGCUGCAGCCUGGCACAUGACCACCUGCACCCGCCUCCCGCUCCCCACGCUCUGGCGGGGGCAGGAGCCCCUCCACCGCCCCAAGUCACCCCGCUCAGCCCUGGAGCACAGACUCAGCCCGGGCCCUGCAUGUUUAAUUAAAAUGGAAUCACAGCUCACCCAGGACGCAGGGCCAGACAAAAGGCCCCUUCAGGCGGGAGCCGGCUCCCCUUACAGCGUGGCCAGAUGGGCGAAGCUCGCGAGCCUCUGCUUGCAAGCUGCGGACAGGCUGGGUGCUCUGCUCCCUCCCGCGCAGCAAGACCCCCACCCUCUGUCCUGGGCUUGGUCAGGGGCCUGGGGACCCCCGUGCAAAUGUCCUGGGGCACCUGGCAGCUGCUCACCUUAGCUGCCAGGAAACUGACCUUCAUGGGGACGUGGUGGGAGGACGGUGUUGGGAUGAUGAGUGAGCCACGGGGACCAGACGGAGGCUGCACAGAAGCCCAGAUGAAGGUCGGGGCAGGGCAAGGCUGCAGAGUCCCCGGGGAAAAGGGCAGGCCCUGCAGGUACGACCUAGCGGCCAGGGCCCCCGACGCUCCCACCCUGCAUUUGAGCACCACCCCCCGAUUCUGACACCUGCAGACCCUCGGAGGCAGCACCGGGUGCACACGGUGAGUGAGCCGGAGCCCUCACGGAGACAGGGAGCCCAAGGUACACCAGGCACGGCCCUCGGGCUGCCUGGAGGCAGGGGCUUCUCAGGACCUCCGACAACCAGGAGACGGGCAGCGUGCCUGGCCAAGGGUAGCAGCAAAGGGGGCGUGUCCCCACAGGCCGUGACCUCUGAGGGUGCUGCAGGAACAUGCAGGGUUAGCACAGGUAAGCAGAGUCGGGGGCACCCUAAUAAUGGGACCACCCACUGGGCUGCCCCAGGGAGGCCCUGAAGCCCACAGUGGCACCGGACAAAUCGGCCCCUUGGUGAGGGGAGUAGUGGUCAGGGGGCCAGGGCUCCUCAUCUGCAGCGCUGAGCAGCGUGACAGCCGACCGGAGGCUGUAAGACCCUCUUGGACCCUCGGGAGCCACCAUGGCGGCCCCUGCAGCGGGGGAGGGGGGGAGGGGCUGCCUGCUUGUUUUUCCUGAUUUUCUCCAGCAGGGCUGCUCUGGUGCACAGCUCAUUAAUAUGGGAUUAGAGGGUGUUCAGCUGCCCCACCCUGGUGGUGACCCGGGCAGCCUGGAGGCCCAGGGGCGGGGAGGGGGGUCCUGGCCCAGAGGGUGCCAGCAGCUCUCCUGGAGGCUGGGAUGCCCUCUGAGGACCCCCUGCACCUGCCCCCCUCCUGCCCUAGGCCCUCUCUGCACCUUGCCAAGAGGGAGACAGAGAGGAGAACGGAAUGAGCCCGUUAAGGAGUCCGUGG
rnacentral:lncRNA from 1 species